rnacentral:rRNA from 1 species
GUGAGGAAUAUUGGACAAUGGGCGCAAGCCUGAUCCAGCCAUGCCGCGUGCAGGAAGACGCAUCUAUGGUGUGUAAACUGCUUUUGUACGGGAAGAAACACUCCCUCGUGAGGGAGCUUGACGGUACCGUAAGAAUAAGGAUCGGCUAACUCCGUGCCAGCAGCCGCGGUAAUACGGAGGAUCCAAGCGUUAUCCGGAAUCAUUGGGUUUAAAGGGUACGUAGGCGGUUUAAUAAGUCAGUGGUGAAAGCCCAUCGCUCAACGAUGGAACGGCCAUUGAUACUGUUAGACUUGAAUUACAAGGAAGUAACUAGAAUAUGUAGUGUAGCGGUGAAAUGCUUAGAUAUUACAUGGAAUACCAAUUGCGAAGGCAGGUUACUACUUGUGGAUUGACGCUGAUGGACGAAAGCGUGGGGAGCGAACAGGAUUAGAAACCCGUGUAGUCC